GAUGAACGCUGGCGGCAUGCCUAAUACAUGCAAGUCGAACGGGAGUGCUUGCACUCCAGUGGCGAACGGGUGAGUAAUACAUAGGUAACCUGUCCUUAAGACGAGGAUAGCUUCUAGAAAUGGAAGAUAAAACUGGAUAGGACAUCACAAAUCACAUGAUUAGAUGUUUAAAAGAGCAAUCUACUUAAGGAGGGGCCUGUGGCGCAUUAGCCAGAUGGCGGGGUAAUGGCCCACCAUAGCGAUGAUGCGUAGCCGGUCUGAGAGGACGAACGGCCACAUUGGGACUGAGACACGGCCCAGACUCC
rnacentral:rRNA from 1 species